rnacentral:misc_RNA from 1 species
GGGCACCGCUGCCCGGGACGAGGUAGUGCUGGUGGUCGCUGCUAGGCUGUAUCGUGCCCGUCAGUCUCAGUAGCCCCCGCGCCGCCGCCGCACGCUCAGUGCCGUGUCUGUGUUGCUCGCCCGCCCUCACACCCACCACCUGAGAGCCUCCUCCUGGCCACACCCAGGCUCCCUGAGUGCAGGGCCUUUGGCACUUGUUGGGUGACGCCUUUCUGUUGACGGAAGUGUCACUGCCGAUGUCGUUCCUGCCAAAAGUUUGACAAGUGCUUGCUCAUAACAGUUUUUACUUGAUUUUUACACUUCCAUUCAUUAGAGGACUCGACCCAGCAAGAGUCUGUUUAUGAGUGAAAAAUGCAUUUUACUGAAGCCUAUGUUUAGUGUCGGUUGUGGGAAAAGAAGUAUCUAAUAUCAGAAAUAAAAAAAUAUAAUGUUUCAAGUUCAUACAAGCUGUUGAGCUGUAUUACAAGAUUUAUUUUUUGGUUGUAUGCAAAGUGACCGAAUGUUUUGGAAGUGAAGUGCAUUUGAAGUGGAAUGGGAAACGUAGAAGGUAAAGCGACCGGAGGAAGGCGGCGCGUAGAUCCCCCUUACUGCACGGCACGCCCCCUUCCUCCUCUGCCGAACGACGACGAGGAGGAGGACCUGGACCUUGAUUCUCCGCCUCCGUACCCGCCUCCGCCGCCGCCUUCAGAAGAGCGGUCCAAGCGGUAUUCCUGGCGGAUGUCUGACUCCGCCGUCUUUGGCCAAGGCGAAAAUAAGAGGCGCUCGUGGCUACUCAACUUAACCAACGGAGGCGACAAAACGAAGAGUAAAAUGGCGAAAGACGGUAAGGAUGUCGAUGAUGUUAACAGUAAGAUCAGUGUAGGUAGCAUGGAUGUGUCAGGGGGAGUUGGAGUGAAAGCUUCCUUUAAUGAACCACAUAUAAAUAUCCAAGAAAAUUCUUGGACUGUAGAGGGGAAGCCCGACGCAAACCAAACGACGGGGAAAGAAUCCCAUGUGUUUAUGUACAACAUUUCUGAUAAGGAAAAGGCGAUGCAUGGAGAGAAAGUCAUAAAGAUGAAGACUGAGUAUGUGAGAGGAGAAGACAGUAGUGCACCAGGAUACAGUGUUCUUCACGAAUGUCUUCAGCAUGACAUGAACUCUGAAGGCAGAAUGAUUCAUGAUCAAAACAAUACACAGCUUCCAUCUUUGGAUCUUAGCUGUACAUCCAACAUGAGUGAUGAGCUGAAAAACGUCAUUGACGAGCUUCGAGGCAAGCCAUCCACUGAAGACAGCACUGUAUUUAAAACUGUAUCUGAACAUAAACGAUUUGUCAGUAUCACAACUACGACUAAGAAGGAAGUAUCUUCGCAUAUUAAUAUUAAUGGCAAAGAAUAUAGUUCAACCACAAAUGAUUCUCUUAGUAAGCUGGAGGCAGAACUAAGUGCGUUGCUCUCUCCUGAACUGGAAUUACACACCAAUUCUGAGACAGUCAGUAACAAAAACACUUCCGUUUCCAUGCGUAUGGAAAAUGGGCAUGGGUCUGGGGCAAAUGUGGGGUUAGGUUCUAGCACCAGUCAGGCUCAUAGUUCACAAGUAAACCAAAGCUAUAACAUAUCAGUGACACCGACACUUCCAUUACCAGACAUUCAAGAAUUCUCUGGGAAAGGUAUUCCAUUGCUGCCUGACCUUGUGAAGGGCAACAAUAAGGGAGCCAUUACUGUUGAAAGUUCACUACAGGGGCGUGACAAAAAUGUAAAUGUGGGGGCGGGAGGCAGUAUAACCGGCCCAACUUGUGAUGUUCAAUUUGACAAAAGAGGAGAUUUUGGAGUUGGAAGAUUAGAUACAAAGUUUGAUAGUUCAUUACCACAGGGUAAAGGAGAAAUUGAUGGAUUACACAUAGGGGGAGCUGUGUCAGGUCCCAGAUUAGAGGUGUCAGCUGAAGGUAGCAAGUUCCAUACUCCAGGGGUAGCCUUGGCAGGUGAGAGUCUGCCACGGGGAGAUGUCAGCAUGUCAGUGGAGCCAGGGAUUCCUGUUGCACCUGAUGUAGGCAAGCCUGCCACUAAGAGUAAGAAACAAUCAUCUGGUCCUUGUGCUUGUUUGAGCAGUCCUAAGAAAAUCGAACAAGAAGAACCAUACAUAUCAGCGGGGGUUCAAGGGGAAGGCAAAGGAGAAUUACCGUCAGUGCCUGCUGGCUCAGUAGAAGUAGAAGGGAUAGACUCAGGUCUUAGAACCGAAGGUACAGUUACUGCAAAGAUUCCCCAGAAAAAACGCUCUGGUCCAAAAUCUAAACUUGGAUCAUGUUUUGGUAAACCCAAAUCAUCUGAAUUUGAUACCCCAGAAGCAGAUAUUAAAGGAGAGGUUGAAAUUAAGAGUCCAAGACCAACUGCGGAACCAAGAGCAGAAGCUAGUGUAAAUAUCCAAGUACCAGAUGAGAAUGUCAAAAUUGGGAAAGAUCCAGAGAAGAAAAAGGCAAAGUUUGGCUCAUGUUUUGGGAAGCCUAAAGAACCAGAGUAUGAUGUAAAGGGAGAAUCAUACAGAGUGAUAUCAGAUGAACCAGAAUUUGAAGGCAAGUUAGAUGUUGGUGCUGUAUCACCAACACCUGUGCCUCAAGUCAGUCUAGCAACAACCGCAGGUGAUAUCAGUUUUCAGACAAAACCAACAAAUGUUUCACCAUCUUUGAAAUAUGACAUACCCGAUUUCCCAAAAGUUGAGGCUAAUGUGGAAACUAGGGCAGGGGUAACUGGAGAAAUUGAGGGUGGUUUUUCGGGUGAUAUCCAUAAGGGAGAUGUACAGAUCGAAGCAAAUGCUCCAAAGAUUGGUGGUCAAAUUGCUAGUAAAGAAUACACAGCAGACAGUGACAUUUCCGGAAUUCCAGGAAAUAUGGAUAUCAAUAUUCCAGGUUUCAAAUUCUCCCAAAGUACUCCUAAAGCUACAAUAGAAGGGUCAUCAAGAGCUAACUUUGAUAGUGACAUCAGUCUCGACAUUGAAGGAAAGACUCCAGAUGCGAAGAUUAAGGGAGAAAUCCCUGGCUUGUCUCUCGAAGGUAAUUUGCCAAGUAUGUAUGCAUCUGGGGAAAAGACAAAUAUCAAAUAUUCUGAAGAUACUCCUGAAGUGAAAAUAGAAGGAAAACUACCAGAACCUAAAGGAGACUUCAAUGUUGACCUUGGAAUUGAUUUGCCACAUGUAGCUGGGGCAGAAAAAGAACUGGAAAUCAAAGCUGCAGGUGUGUCAGGUGUUGCUGUUACGGGCGACUUACCUGUCAUUGAUGUCCCCAAAGGAGAGGUUUCCAUACCAAGCAGUCCAAUCAAGCCAUCUGUAGGAAUUAAAGCUGAAGUUAAAGGUCCAAAGGGAUCAACAUCCCUUGAUGUACCUAAUGUUAAACCAAAGACAAAGAAAGCUAAGUUAGGUCCAUGUGCUUGUUUAGGGAAAUCAGGCAAGAUGGAUAUUGAAGAACCAUAUAUAGAAAAGGAAGGUGAAGUUAGUGGAAGAUUUGAAAAUGUUGAUGCAGACAUAGGAGUUCAAGUAGAGGGACCAAGGGUAAAGGGGCCUGAAGCCCAAAUUUCAGUUGAUGUUGAAUCUCCAGAGACAGAAAGAAGGAAAGCCAAGGUAUCAGGAAAGCCCAAGAUGUCAUUAGGAUCUUGCUUUGGAAAAGCAAAGCCACCUAGUGCCCAUGGUGAUUUAUCAGGUGAUGCUGGUGUUGAAGGAAGCAUUUCUGCUGAGCCACACAUCAAAGUUAAAGGAGCAGAUGUAGAAGGCCCAAGUGCAGAUAUUUCCCUUCCUAGAGGAAAGGCUGAAAUUGACAUUGAAUCUCCAGAAAUUAAAGCAAAAGGAGGAAAAGUGUCAGGCAAACCAAAGAUGAAAUUUGGGCCAUGUUUUGGUAAAGCUAAGGGUAAAGAUGUAGAAGCAGAAAGUGAAUACAAAAUUGAAGGCCCAUCUGUUAGUGGUGAGAUUAGUCCUUCAUCACCUGAGCUAAGAGCAGAUGUCAGUGUUGAAUCACCUAAAGCCAAAAUCAAAGGUGAGAAACCCAAAACAAAGUUUGGAUCUUGCCUUGGAAAACCCAAAGAGCCAAAAGUUGAAGGUGAAUAUCAAGUAGGAAAAAUAGCUGUUGAAGGUCCUGAAGUCAGUAGUAAAGUAGAAAUUCCUUCUGGUGAGGCUAGUGUUGCAUCACCAGCAGUGAGUGUAGAUAUCAGUGCUAAAUCACCUGAAGCUAAAAUCCAAGGGGAGAAACCUAAAUCUAAGCUGGGAUCUUGUUUUGGUAAACCAAAAGGCCCAAAAGUUGAAGGAGAAUAUAAGCCUGUUAGAGUUCAAGCUGAAAGUUCUGGAGCCAGUGGUGAGAUUAAGGUCGCAUCACCAGAGAUAAGAGGAGACAUUGGUGCCAAAGCCCCUGAAGUAGAAAUCAAAGGAGAAAAGCCAAAGUCAAAACUUGGAUCUUGCUUUGGGGAACCCAAAGGCCCUGAUGCUGGGGGUGAAUACAAAUCAAGUAAACUAGAAGUUGAAGGUCCAUCUGUUACUGGUGAGGCUAGUGUUGCAUCUCCCAAGGUUAGUGGAGAUGUUAGUGCCGAGUUGCCAAGAGGUGAAAUUAAAGGAGGAAAGCCCAAAUCUAAGUUGGGAUCAUGCUUUGGGAAACCUAAAGAACCGAAAGUGGCAGGUGAAUACAAACCAGCUGAAGUAAACAUCGAUGAGCCAUCUAUUAGUGGUGAGGCAAGUGUCAAAUCACCAGAGCUAGGUGGAGACAUUGGCAUUCAAUCAUCAAAAUUCAGUGGAGAUGCAAGCAUUAAACAUACAGAUGCAGAGAUCAAAGGAAAGAAGCCAAAAUCCAAUUUAGGAUCAUGUUUUGGGAAAUCUAAAUCACCAGAAAUUGAAGGAAAGGUUGAAGCAGAAAGACCAGAGAUCAGUGGGGAAGUUGGUAUUUCAUCACCAGAGCUUAAAGGUGAUGUAAAUAUUGAAUCACCAGAUGUAAGAAUUAAGGCAGAAAAACCGAAAUCAAAAUUGGGAUCAUGUUUCGGUAAACCUAGCACACCUAGAGCAGAAGGUGAAUACAUGGUUAGUACUGAAAAACCUGAAGCAGAGGCAGGAGUUUCAGUCAGAUCUCCUGCUAUUAAGGGUGAUGUUGAUCUAGAGUCCCCCGAGAUAAAGGUGAAAGGCAGUAAACCAAAGUCCAAACUUGGAUCAUGCUUUGGGAAACCAAAAAGUGGAAAGAUAGAAGGUGAAUACAAGCCAGGAAGUGUUGACAUAGAAGGUCCUGAAGUGAGUGCAGGAGCCAGUGUCAAGCCUCCUACCAUUGAAGGAGAAAUUGAUGUUGAAUCACCUGCAGUAGAAGUGAAAGGCAAGAAGGUUUCUGGAAAGCCGAAAGCCAAACUAGGAUCAUGCUUUGGAAAACCCAAAGAACCUAAAGUUAAAGGAGAAAUAGACAUUGAAGGUCCAAGAGUAGAAGGUGAAGUGCCUACUGGGAAAGCUGAAGUAGGUGUCAAGGCUCCUGAGAUGAAAGUGAAGAGUAAGAAGGUAAAAGGAAAAUCUGCUCCACUAUGUGCUUCAUGCAUUGGAAAGGCAUCACCUCCAGAUGUAGAUAUAGAUGCUGAUGUAGAACCAGGAAGCAUUAAGAUUCGUCCAGAAAAACCAAGCAUGGAAGGAAAAAUAUCAGUAGAAGGUCCAAGUAUUGAUGUUGAACCAGUAAAAGUAAACGUAAAGGGACCUUCAAUGCCUGAAGUACCAGAAAUGAAAGGUAAUUUGGAUGUGGAAGCAGAUCUACCUGAUUUUGAACCAUCCAUUAAAAUCAAGGGUGAUAUUCCAGAUAUCCCGAAAGUAGAAGCAGAAAUGGGAGGAAAAGCAGAUAUUCCAGAAAUUGAAAUCAAGGGUAAUGUGCCAGCACUUCCAAAGAUAGAAGCAAGUGUGGAUGCACCUGAAUUGAAAGUGGAAGGAGAGCUCCCAAAACUGAAAACGGAAGGUGAUAUUGACAUUGGAAUAAAUGUUCCAAGUAUAUCAGGAGAUAUUAAGGGACUGAAUAUUGAAACACCCGACUUCCCAAGUGGCAAAAUUGAAGGAGAUAUUAAGGGUGACUUACCAAGCAUUGAGAUUCCUAAAGCUGAAGUCUCUCUACCAGCAGGCCCUGAAUUACCAAGUGCAGAAAUCAAGGGAGAAUUGAAGGGUCCAGAGAUCUCAGGUUCAGCCCAAAUACCAAAGGCAGAACUGAAGACAAAGAAAGCAAAACUUGGUCCAUGUGCUUGUUUAGGCAAAUCAGGCAAAAUUGGCAAAGAAGAACCAUACAUGGCUGCAGAAGCUGGAGGAAAAAUAAGUGGAGAAGUUGAAGGUGUAGAUGUGGGUGUAGAAGGACCCAAAGGUAGUGUUGCAGUAGAUGUUGAAUCACCUGAGAUAAAGGGUAAGAAAGUAAAGGCCUCAGGCAAGCCUAAGAUGUCAUUAGGAUCAUGCUUUGGGAAAGCAAAGCCACCUAGUGCCCGUGGUGAUGUAUCAGCUGAUGCUGGUGUUGAAGGAAGCAUUUCUGCUGAGCCACACCUCAAAGUUGAAGGAGCCGAUAUUGCAGGUCCAAGUGCAGAUAUUUCUCUUCCAGAAGGAAAGGCUGAAGUUGAUAUUGAAUCCCCAGAAGUUAAAGUGAAAGGAGGAAAAGUAUCAGGCAAACCCAAGAUGAAAUUUGGACCCUGUUUCGGCAAAGGCAAAGAUGUAGAAGUAGAAGGUGAAUACAAAUCAAGUAAAGUAGAAGUUAAAGGUCCAUCUGUCAGUGGUGAAGUCAGUGCAGCCUCACCUGAAAUGAGUGGAGACAUUAGUGUUGAAUCACCUAAAGCUAAAAUCCAAGGAGAAAAGCCUAAAUCUAAAUUAGGAUCCUGUUUUGGGAAACCCAAAGGGCCAAAGGUGGAAGGUGAAUACAAGCCAGCUAAAGUUAGUGCCGAGGGUCCAGAAGUUAGUGGUGAAGUUUCUGUUGCCUCACCAGAGAUAAGUGCAGAGAUCAGUGCUGAACCACCCAAAGCUAAACUCAAAGGGGAGAAACCUAAAUCAAAAUUAGGAUCUUGCUUUGGUAAGCCCAAAGGCCCAAAAGUUGAAGGAGAAUAUAAACCAUCAAGUGUUGAUGUUGAAUGCCCAGAAGUAAGUAGUGAUGUAGGGGUUCCAUCGGCUGAAGUUAAGGGUGACAUUAAGGUUGAUUCACCUGAUGUAAGAUUUAAAGAAGGUAAACCCAAAUCAAAGUUUGGAUCCUGCUUUGGAAAACCUAAAUCGCCUGGAAUUGAAGGUGAAUACAAACCAGGAAAAAUUAGUGUAGAAGGACCUGAAGCAGAGGCAGGAGUUUCAGCCAGAUCUCCUGCUAUUAAGGGUGAUCUUGAUCUAGAGUCCCCUGAGAUAAAGGUGAAAGGCAGUAAACCAAAGUCCAAAUUUGGAUCAUGCUUUGGGAAACCAAAAAGUGGAAAGAUAGAAGGUGAAUACAAGCCAGGAAGUGUUGACAUAGAAGGUCCUGAUGUGAGUGCAGGAGCCAGUGUCAAGCCUCCUACCAUUGAAGGAGAAAUUGAUAUUGAAUCACCUGAAGUAGAAGUGAAAGGUAAGAAGGUUUCUGGAAAGCCGAAAGCCAAACUAGGAUCAUGCUUUGGCAAACCCAAAGAACCUAAAGUUAAAGGAGAAAUAGACAUUGAAGGUCCAAGAGUAGAAGGUGAAGUGCCUACUGGGAAAGCUGAAGUAGGUGUCAAGGCUCCUGAGAUGAAAGUGAAGAGUAAGAAGGUAAAAGGAAAAUCUGCUCCACUAUGUGCUUCAUGUAUUGGAAAGGCAUCACCUCCAGAUGUAGAUAUAGAUGCUGAUGUAGAACCAGGAAGCAUAAAGAUUCGUCCUGAGAAACCAAGCAUGGAAGGUAAAAUAUCAGUAGAAGGUCCAAGUAUUGAUGUUGAACCAGUAAAAGUAAACGUAAAGGGACCUUCAAUGCCUGAAGUACCAGAAAUGAAAGGUAAUUUGGAUGUAGAAGCAGAUCUACCUGAUUUUGAACCAUCCUUUAAAAUCAAGGGUGAUAUUCCAGAUAUCCCGAAAGUAGAAGCAGAAAUGGGAGGAAAAGCAGAUAUUCCAGAAAUUGAAAUCAAGGGUAAUGUGCCAGCACUUCCAAAGAUAGAGGCAAGUGUGGAUGCACCUGAAUUGAAAGUGGAAGGAGAGCUCCCAAAACUGAAAACGGAAGGUGAUAUUGACAUUGGAAUAAAUGUUCCAAGUAUAUCAGGAGAUAUUAAGGGACUGAAUAUUGAAACACCCGACUUCCCAAGUGGCAAAAUUGAAGGAGAUAUUAAGGGUGACUUACCAAGCAUUGAGAUUCCUAAAGCUGAAGUCUCUCUACCAGCAGGCCCUGAAUUACCAAGUGCAGAAAUCAAGGGAGAAUUGAAGGGUCCAGAGAUCUCAGGUUCAGCCCAAAUACCAAAGGCAGAACUAAAGACAAAGAAAGCAAAACUUGGUCCAUGUGCUUGUUUAGGCAAAUCAGGCAAAAUUGACAAAGAAGAACCAUACAUGGCUGCAGAAGCUGGAGGAAAAAUAAGUGGAGAAGUUGAAGGUGUAGAUGUGGGUGUAGAAGGACCCAAAGGUAGUGUUGCAGUAGAUGUUGAAUCACCUGAGAUAAAGGGUAAGAAAGUAAAGGCCUCAGGCAAGCCUAAGAUGUCAUUAGGAUCAUGCUUUGGGAAAGCAAAGCCACCUAGUGCCCGUGGUGAUGUAUCAGCUGAUGCUGGAGUUGAAGGAAGCAUUUCUGCUGAUCCACACCUCAAAGUUGAAGGAGCCGAUAUUGCAGGUCCAAGUGCAGAUAUUUCCCUACCAGAAGGAAAGGCUGAAGUUGAUAUUGAAUCCCCAGAAGUUAAAGUGAAAGGAAGAAAAGUAUCAGGCAAACCCAAGAUGAAAUUUGGACCCUGUUUCGGCAAAGGCAAAGAUGUAGAAGUAGAAGGUGAAUACAAACCAAGUAAAGUAGAAGUUAAAGGUCCAUCUGUCAGUGGUGAAGUCAGUGCAGCCUCACCUGAAAUGAGUGGAGACAUUAGUGUUGAAUCACCUAAAGCUAAAAUCCAAGGAGAAAAGCCUAAAUCUAAAUUAGGGUCUUGCUUUGGGAAACCCAAAAGCCCAGAAGCAGAAAUUGAAUAUAAACCUGCCAAAAUUUCAGCCGAAAGUCCAGCAAUUACUGGUGAAAUUAGUGGUGCAUCAGCUGAGAUGAAGGGUGAUGUUAAUGUUGGUUCGCCUGAUGUAAAAGUGAAAGGAGGAAAACCCAAAUCAAAGAUUGGAUCCUGUUUUGGAAAACCAAAAUCACCUGAAAUUGAAGGUGAAUACAAACCAGGAAAAAUUAGUGUAGAAGGACCCGAAGCAGAGGCAGGAGUGUCAGCCAGAUCUCCUGCUAUUAAGGGUGAUGUUGAUCUAGAGUCCCCUGAGAUAAAGGUGAAAGGCAGUAAACCAAAGUCCAAAUUUGGAUCAUGCUUUGGAAAACCAAAAAGUGGAAAGAUAGAAGGUGAAUACAAGCCAGGAAGUGUAGACAUAGAAGGUCCUGAUGUGAGUGCAGGAGCCAGUGUCAAGCCUCCUACCAUUGAAGGAGAAAUUGAUGUUGAAUCACCUGCAGUAGAAGUGAAAGGCAAGAAGGUUUCUGGAAAGCCGAAAGCCAAACUAGGAUCAUGCUUUGGAAAACCCAAAGAACCUAAAGUUAAAGGAGAAAUAGACAUUGAAGGUCCAAGAGUAGAAGGUGAAGUGCCUACUGGGAAAGCUGAAGUAGGUGUCAAGGCUCCUGAGAUGAAAGUGAAGAGUAAGAAGGUAAAAGGAAAAUCUGCUCCACUAUGUGCUUCAUGCAUAGGAAAGGCAUCACCUCCAGAUGUAGAUAUAGAUGCUGAUGUAGAACCAGGAAGCAUUAAGAUUCGUCAAGAAAAACCAAGCAUGGAAGGUAAGAUAUCAGUAGAAGGUCCAAGUAUUGAUGUUAAACCAGUAAAAGUAAACGUAAAGGGACCUUCAAUGCCUGAAGUACCAGAAAUGAAAGGUAAUUUGGAUGUGGAAGCAGAUCUACCUGAUUUUGAACCAUCCUUUAAAAUCAAGGGUGAUAUUCCAGAUAUCCCGAAAGUAGAAGCAGAAAUGGGAGGAAAAGCAGAUAUUCCAGAAAUUGAAAUCAAGGGUAAUGUGCCAGCACUUCCAAAGAUAGAGGCAAGUGUGGAUGCACCUGAAUUGAAAGUGGAAGGAGAGCUCCCAAAACUGAAAACGGAAGGUGAUAUUGACAUUGGAAUAAAUGUUCCAAGUAUAUCAGGAGAUAUUAAGGGACUGAAUAUUGAAACACCCGACUUCCCAAGUGGCAAUAUUGAAGGAGAUAUUAAGGGUGACUUACCAAGCAUUGAGAUUCCUAAAGCUGAAGUCUCUCUACCAGCAGGCCCUGAAUUACCAAGUGCAGAAAUCAAGGGAGAAUUGAAGGGUCCAGAGAUCUCAGGUUCAGCCCAAAUACCAAAGGCAGAACUGAAGGCAAAGAAAGCAAAACUUGGUCCAUGUGCUUGUUUAGGCAAAUCAGGCAAAAUUGGCAAAGAAGAACCAUACAUGGCUGCAGAAGCUGGAGGAAAAAUAAGUGGAGAAGUUGAAGGUGUAGAUGUGGGUGUAGAAGGACCCAAAGGUAGUGUUGCAGUAGAUGUUGAAUCACCUGAGAUAAAGGGUAAGAAAGUUAAGGCCUCAGGCAAGCCUAAGAUGUCAUUAGGAUCAUGCUUUGGGAAAGCUAAGCCACCUAGUGCCCGUGGUGAUGUAUCAGCUGAUGCUGGUGUUGAAGGAAGCAUUUCUGCUGAGCCACACCUCAAAGUUGAAGGAGCCGAUAUUGCAGGUCCAAGUGCAGAUAUUUCCCUUCCAGAAGGAAAGGCUGAAGUUGAUAUUGAAUCCCCAGAAGUUAAAGUGAAAGGAGGAAAAGUAUCAGGAAAACCCAAGAUGAAAUUUGGACCCUGUUUCGGCAAAGGCAAAGAUGUAGAAGUAGAAGGUGAAUACAAACCAAGUAAAGUAGAAGUUAAAGGUCCAUCUGUCAGUGGUGAAGUCAGUGCAGCCUCACCUGAAAUGAGUGGAGACAUUAGUGUUGAAUCACCUAAAGCUAAAAUCAAAGGAGAAAAGUCUAAAUCUAAAUUAGGGUCUUGCUUUGGGAAACCCAAAAGCCCAGAAGCAGAAAUUGAAUAUAAGCCUGCCAAAAUUUCAGCCGAAAGUCCUGCAAUUACUGGUGAAAUUAGUGGUGCAUCAGCUGAGAUGAAGGGUGAUGUUAAUGUUGGUUCGCCUGAUGUAAAAGUGAAAGGAGGAAAACCCAAAUCAAAGAUUGGAUCCUGUUUUGGAAAACCAAAAUCACCUGAAAUUGAAGGUGAAUACAAACCAGGAAAAAUUAGUGUAGAAGGACCUGAAGCAGAGGCAGGAGUUUCAGCAAGAUCUCCUGCUAUUAAGGGUGAUGUUGAACUAGAGUCCCCUGAGAUAAAGGUGAAAGGCAGUAAACCAAAGUCCAAAUUUGGAUCAUGCUUUGGAAAACCAAAAAGUGGAAAGAUAGAAGGUGAAUACAAGCCAGGAAGUGUAGACAUAGAAGGUCCUGAUGUGAGUACAGGAGCCAGUGUCAAGCCUCCUACCAUUGAAGGAGAAAUUGAUGUUGAAUCACCUGCAGUAGAACUGAAAGGCAAGAAGGUUUCUGGAAAGCCGAAAGCCAAACUAGGAUCAUGCUUUGGCAAACCCAAAGAACCUAAAGUUAAAGGAGAAAUAGACAUUGAAGGUCCAAGAGUAGAAGGUGAAGUGCCUACUGGGAAAGCUGAAGUAGGUGUCAAGGCUCCUGAGAUGAAAGUGAAGAGUAAGAAGGUAAAAGGAAAAUCUGCUCCACUAUGUGCUUCAUGUAUUGGAAAGGCAUCACCUCCAGAUGUAGAUAUAGAUGCUGAUGUAGAACCAGGAAGCAUAAAGAUUCGUCCUGAGAAACCAAGCAUGGAAGGUAAAAUAUCAGUAGAAGGUCCAAGUAUUGAUGUUGAACCAGUAAAAGUAAACGUAAAGGGACCUUCAAUACCUGAAGUACCAGAAAUGAAAGGUAAUUUGGAUGUGGAAGCAGAUCUACCUGAUUUUGAACCAUCCUUUAAAAUCAAGGGUGAUAUUCCAGAUAUCCCGAAAGUAGAAGCAGAAAUGGGAGGAAAAGCAGAUAUUCCAGAAAUUGAAAUCAAGGGUAAUGUGCCAGCACUUCCAAAGAUAGAGGCAAGUGUGGAUGCACCUGAAUUGAAAGUGGAAGGAGAGCUCCCAAAACUGAAAACGGAAGGUGAUAUUGACAUUGGAAUAAAUGUUCCAAGUAUAUCAGGAGAUAUUAAGGGACUGAAUAUUGAAACACCCGACUUCCCAAGUGGCAAAAUUGAAGGAGAUAUUAAGGGUGACUUACCAAGCAUUGAGAUUCCUAAAGCUGAAGUCUCUCUACCAGCAGGCCCUGAAUUACCAAGUGCAGAAAUCAAGGGAGAAUUGAAGGGUCCAGAGAUCUCAGGUUCAGCCCAAAUACCAAAGGCAGAACUAAAGACAAAGAAAGCAAAACUUGGUCCAUGUGCUUGUUUAGGCAAAUCAGGCAAAAUUGGCAAAGAAGAACCAUACAUGGCUGCAGAAGCUGGAGGAAAAAUAAGUGGAGAAGUUGAAGGUGUAGAUGUGGGUGUAGAAGGACCCAAAGGUAGUGUUGCAGUAGAUGUUGAAUCACCUGAGAUAAAGGGUAAGAAAGUUAAGGCCUCAGGCAAGCCUAAGAUGUCAUUAGGAUCAUGCUUUGGGAAAGCUAAGCCACCUAGUGCCCGUGGUGAUGUAUCAGCUGAUGCUGGUGUUGAAGGAAGCAUUUCUGCUGAGCCACACCUCAAAGUUGAAGGAGCCGAUAUUGCAGGUCCAAGUGCAGAUAUUUCCCUACCAGAAGGAAAGGCUGAAGUUGAUAUUGAAUCCCCAGAAGUUAAGGUGAAAGAAGGAAAAGUAUCAGGCAAACCCAAGAUGAAAUUUGGACCCUGUUUCGGCAAAGGCAAAGACGUAGAAGUAGAAGGUGAAUACAAACCAAGUAAAGUAGAAGUUAAAGGUCCAUCUGUCAGUGGUGAAGUCAGUACAGCCUCACCUGAAAUGAGUGGAGACAUUAGUGUUGAAUCACCUAAGGUUAAAAUCAAAGGAGAAAAACCCAAAUCCAAACUAGGAUCCUGCUUUGGAAAGCCAAAAGGUCCAGAAGUUGAGGGUGAAUAUGAUCCUGCUAAACUAGAUGUUGAAGGUCCAGAAGUUAGAGGUGGAGUAGGUGUUUCUUCACCGGAGGUCACAGGGGAUAUUAAUGUUGAGUCUCCAGAUGUGAAAGUCAAAGCAGGAAAACCAAAAGCAAAGUUAGGAUCCUGUUUCGGUAAACCUAAAUCACCUGAAGUUGAGGGUACAUAUAAACCAGGAAAAGUUAGUGUAGAAGGACCCGAAGCAGAGGCAGGAGUUUCAGCCAGAUCUCCUGCUAUUAAGGGUGAUCUUGAUCUAGAGUCCCCUGAGAUAAAGGUGAAAGGCAGUAAACCAAAGUCCAAACUUGGAUCAUGCUUUGGGAAACCAAAAAGUGGAAAGAUAGAAGGUGAAUACAAGCCAGGAAGUGUAGACAUAGAAGGUCCUGAUGUGAGUGCAGGAGCCAGUGUCAAGCCUCCUGCCAUUGAAGGAGAAAUUGAUGUUGAAUCACCUGCAGUAGAAGUGAAAGGUAAAAAGGUUUCUGUAAAGCCGAAAGCCAAACUAGGAUCAUGCUUUGGCAAACCCAAAGAACCUAAAGUUAAAGGAGAAAUAGACAUUGAAGGUCCAAGAGUAGAAGGUGAAGUGCCUACUGGGAAAGCUGAAGUAGGUGUCAAGGCUCCUGAGAUGAAAGUGAAGAGUAAGAAGGUAAAAGGAAAAUCUGCUCCACUAUGUGCUUCAUGCAUUGGAAAGGCAUCACCUCCAGAUGUAGAUAUAGAUGCUGAUGUAGAACCAGGAAGCAUUAAGAUUCGUCCUGAAAAACCCAGCAUGGAAGGUAAAAUAUCAGUAGAAGGACCAAGUAUUGAUGUUGAACCAGUAAAAGUAAAAGUAAAGGGACCUUCAAUACCUGAAGUACCAGAAAUGAAAGGUAAUAUGGAUGUGGAAGCAGAUCUACCUGAUUUUGAACCAUCCAUUAAAAUCAAGGGUGAUAUUCCAGAUAUCCCAAAAGUAGAAGCAGAAAUGGGAGGAAAAGCAGAUAUUCCAGAAAUUGAAAUCAAGGGUAAUGUGCCAGCACUUCCAAAGAUAGAGGCAAGUGUGGAUGCACCUGAAUUGAAAGUGGAAGGAGAGCUCCCAAAACUGAAAACGGAAGGUGAUAUUGACAUUGGAAUAAAUGUUCCAAGUAUAUCAGGAGAUAUUAAGGGACUGAAUAUUGAAACACCCGACUUCCCAAGUGGCAAAAUUGAAGGAGAUAUUAAGGGUGACUUACCAAGCAUUGAGAUUCCUAAAGCUGAAGUCUCUCUACCAGCAGGCCCUGAAUUAUCAAGUGCAGAAAUCAAGGGAGAAUUGAAGGGUCCAGAGAUCUCAGGUUCAGCCCAAAUACCAAAGGCAGAACUGAAGACAAAGAAAGCAAAACUUGGUCCAUGUGCUUGUUUAGGCAAAUCAGGCAAAAUUGGCAAAGAAGAACCAUACAUGGCUGCAGAAGCUGGAGGAAAAAUAAGUGGAGAAGUUGAAGGUGUAGAUGUGGGUGUAGAAGGACCCAAAGGUAGUGUUGCAGUAGAUGUUGAAUCACCUGAGAUAAAGGGUAAGAAAGUUAAGGCCUCAGGCAAGCCUAAGAUGUCAUUAGGAUCAUGCUUUGGGAAAGCAAAGCCACCUAGUGCCCGUGGUGAUGUAUCAGCUGAUGCUGGUGUUGAAGGAAGCAUUUCUGCUGAGCCACACCUCAAAGUUGAAGGAGCCGAUAUUGCAGGUCCAAGUGCAGAUAUUUCCCUACCAGAAGGAAAGGCUGAAGUUGAUAUUGAAUCCCCAGAAGUUAAGGUGAAAGAAGGAAAAGUAUCAGGCAAACCCAAGAUGAAAUUUGGACCCUGUUUCGGCAAAGGCAAAGACGUAGAAGUAGAAGGUGAAUACAAACCAAGUAAAGUAGAAGUUAAAGGUCCAUCUGUCAGUGGUGAAGUCAGUACAGCCUCACCUGAAAUGAGUGGAGACAUUAGUGUUGAAUCACCUAAGGUUAAAAUCAAAGGAGAAAAACCCAAAUCCAAACUAGGAUCCUGCUUUGGAAAGCCAAAAGGUCCAGAAGUUGAGGGUGAAUAUGAUCCUGCUAAACUAGAUGUUGAAGGUCCAGAAGUUAGAGGUGGAGUAGGUGUUUCUUCACCGGAGGUCACAGGGGAUAUUAAUGUUGAGUCUCCAGAUGUGAAAGUCAAAGCAGGAAAACCAAAAGCAAAGUUAGGAUCCUGUUUCGGUAAACCUAAAUCACCUGAAGUUGAGGGUACAUAUAAACCAGGAAAAGUUAGUGUAGAAGGACCCGAAGCAGAGGCAGGAGUUUCAGCCAGAUCUCCUGCUAUUAAGGGUGAUCUUGAUCUAGAGUCCCCUGAGAUAAAGGUGAAAGGCAGUAAACCAAAGUCCAAACUUGGAUCAUGCUUUGGGAAACCAAAAAGUGGAAAGAUAGAAGGUGAAUACAAGCCAGGAAGUGUAGACAUAGAAGGUCCUGAUGUGAGUGCAGGAGCCAGUGUCAAGCCUCCUGCCAUUGAAGGAGAAAUUGAUGUUGAAUCACCUGCAGUAGAAGUGAAAGGUAAGAAGGUUUCUGUAAAGCCGAAAGCCAAACUAGGAUCAUGCUUUGGCAAACCCAAAGAACCUAAAGUUAAAGGAGAAAUAGACAUUGAAGGUCCAAGAGUAGAAGGUGAAGUGCCUACUGGGAAAGCUGAAGUAGGUGUCAAGGCUCCUGAGAUGAAAGUGAAGAGUAAGAAGGUAAAAGGAAAAUCUGCUCCACUAUGUGCUUCAUGCAUUGGAAAGGCAUCACCUCCAGAUGUAGAUAUAGAUGCUGAUGUAGAACCAGGAAGCAUUAAGAUUCGUCCUGAGAAACCCAGCAUGGAAGGUAAAAUAUCAGUAGAAGGACCAAGUAUUGAUGUUGAACCAGUAAAAGUAAAAGUAAAGGGACCUUCAAUACCUGAAGUACCAGAAAUGAAAGGUAAUAUGGAUGUGGAAGCAGAUCUACCUGAUUUUGAACCAUCCAUUAAAAUCAAGGGUGAUAUUCCAGAUAUCCCAAAAGUAGAAGCAGAAAUGGGAGGAAAAGCAGAUAUUCCAGAAAUUGAAAUCAAGGGUAAUGUGCCAGCACUUCCAAAGAUAGAGGCAAGUGUGGAUGCACCUGAAUUGAAAGUGGAAGGAGAGCUCCCAAAACUGAAAACGGAAGGUGAUAUUGACAUUGGAAUAAAUGUUCCAAGUAUAUCAGGAGAUAUUAAGGGACUGAAUAUUGAAACACCCGACUUCCCAAGUGGCAAAAUUGAAGGAGAUAUUAAGGGUGACUUACCAAGCAUUGAGAUUCCUAAAGCUGAAGUCUCUCUACCAGCAGGCCCUGAAUUAUCAAGUGCAGAAAUCAAGGGAGAAUUGAAGGGUCCAGAGAUCUCAGGUUCAGCCCAAAUACCAAAGGCAGAACUGAAGACAAAGAAAGCAAAACUUGGUCCAUGUGCUUGUUUAGGCAAAUCAGGCAAAAUUGGCAAAGAAGAACCAUACAUGGCUGCAGAAGCUGGAGGAAAAAUAAGUGGAGAAGUUGAAGGUGUAGAUGUGGGUGUAGAAGGACCCAAAGGUAGUGUUGCAGUAGAUGUUGAAUCACCUGAGAUAAAGGGUAAGAAAGUAAAGGCCUCAGGCAAGCCUAAGAUGUCAUUAGGAUCAUGCUUUGGGAAAGCAAAGCCACCUAGUGCCCGUGGUGAUGUAUCAGCUGAUGCUGGUGUUGAAGGAAGCAUUUCUGCUGAGCCACACCUCAAAGUUGAAGGAGCCGAUAUUGCAGGUCCAAGUGCAGAUAUUUCCCUUCCAGAAGGAAAGGCUGAAGUUGAUAUUGAAUCCCCAGAAGUUAAAGUGAAAGGAGGAAAAGUAUCAGGCAAACCCAAGAUGAAAUUUGGACCCUGUUUCGGCAAAGGCAAAGAUGUAGAAGUAGAAGGUGAAUACAAACCAAGUAAAGUAGAAGUUAAAGGUCCAUCUGUCAGUGGGGAAGUCAGUACAGCCUCACCUGAAAUGAGUGGAGACAUUAGUGUUGAAUCACCUAAAGUUAAAAUCAAAGGAGAAAAACCCAAAUCCAAACUAGGAUCCUGCUUUGGAAAACCAAAAGGUCCAGAAGUUGAGGGUGAAUAUGAUCCUGCUAAACUAGAUGUUGAAGGUCCAGAAGUUAGAGGUGGAGUAGGUGUUUCUUCUGCAGAGGUCACAGGGGAUAUUAAUGUUGAGUCUCCGGCUGUGAAAGUCAAAGCUGGAAAACCAAAAACAAAGCUAGGAUCCUGUUUCGGUAAACCUAAAUCACCUGAAGUUGAGGGUGAAUAUAAACCUGAAAUUGAUGUUGAAGGACAUAAAGCAGGAGCCGAGGUUUCAGUCAGGGCCCCAGACGUAGAGGGUCAUAUUGAUGUAGACUCACCAGAUAUGAAGAUCAAGAGAGGAAAACCAAAGUCUAGACUGGGACCCUGCUUUGGAAAGGCAAAGGGUGAAGUAGAAAGCGAAUAUAAACCAGGAAGUGUUUCUAUAAAAGGUCCUGAUGUUGGUGCAGAAGCAAGUGUACAGAGUCCUGAUCUUGGAGCGGGAGUAAAUGUGAAAAGUCCUGGAAAUGAAGGUGAAAUUGAUAUCGAAUCACCAAAAGUGGAAGUUAAAGGCAAAAAGGUAUCUGGAAAGCCUAAAGUUAACCUUGGAUCUUGCUUUGGUAAACCCAAGGAACCAAAGAUCGAAGUGGAUAUUGAAGGCAGAGGUGCACAAGUGUCAGUAGAUGCACCAAAUGUUGCUGUUGAACCAUCGGUGAAAGUAGUUGGCCCAUCAGUACCUAGACUUCCUGAUGUGAGAGGAGACUUAGAAGUGAAAAUAGAUGAGCCAGAUUUUGAACCCUCCCUGGAAAUCAAGGGUGAUAUUCCUGAUAUACCAAAAGUUAAGGCAGAAAUAGGUGGCAAAGCAAAUAUACCGGAAAUUGAAAUGCAGGGGAGUGUUCCAAAGCUUCCUGAAAUUAAAGCAACUAUUGGUUCACCUGAACUAAAGACCGAGGGGGAUGUUGGUUUUGGGGUAAGUGCUCCAAGUAUUUCAGGAGAUAUCAAGGGUGAUAUUCCCAAAGUUGAAGUCACUGUACCAUCGGGCCCUGCAUUACCAAGCACAGAAAUUAAAGGUGAGAUUAAGAGCCCAGCUUUAUCAGGUUCAGCAGAGAUACCAAAGGCUGAAAUAAAGACAAAGAAGGCAAAACUUGGUCCCUGCACUUGCAUGGGCAAAUCAGGCAAAGAAGAGCCAUAUAUAGCAGCAGGAGGAGGGAAAAUAAGUGGAGAAGUUGAAAGCAUAGAUGCAGGCAUUGAAAGACCAAAAGGCAAUAUUUCAGUUGAGGUGGAUUCUCCUGAGAUAAAGAACAAAAAGGUUAAGGCCUCAGGAAAGCCUAAGAUGUCAUUAGGAUCUUGCUUUGGUAAAGGAAAGCCUCCUAGUGGAGAAAUUUCAACUGGCCUUGAUGUAGAUGUAAAGCCAGAUCAACCUGACUUUGAAAUCUCUGCCGAGGCUCCAGUUCCACCAAUGCGAAAGGGAAAGAAAUUUAAGGUUAAAUCUCCAGAUAUUGAUAUGAAUAUGGGAAGCAUAGAUAUAAAUGCUGAUGUUCCAGAAGUUGGAGGAAUAGAUGUUUCUGGUAUUGGAAUGAAGGCAGUUGGACCAGAUAUCAAUGGAAGUCUUGAUAUGCCAGAAUUUGAAGGCCGUAUAAAAAGCCCACAUGUAAAGAGUAGUAUUGAUAUUCCAGAAGUUGAAGGCAAGAUCGAUAUGCCUGAAAUUAAAGGUAGUGGAGAAAUCGAAGGAUAUGGUGGUAAGAUAACUAUGCCACAUAUCAAAGGAAAUACUGACAUUCCAGGAUUAAGUGGCAAAAUUAGCAUGCCAGAAGUGAAUGGAAAUGUUGAUAUUCCAUCCUUUGGAAGCAAAAUUGAUAUGCCAGAUCUUAAUGGUAAAGCGGAUAUUCAAGGAUUUAGAGGCAAGGUUGACAUGCCAGAAAUCAAGGGCAAGGUAGACAUGCCAGAAAUCAAGGGCAGUGCUGAAAUGCCAGGCUUUGGAGGCAAGGUAGACAUGCCAGAAAUCAAGGGCAGUGUUGGAAUGCCAGGCUUUGGAGGCAAGUUUGACAUGCCAGAAAUCAAGGGCAGUGUUGGAAUGCCAGGCUUUGGAGGCAAGGUUGACAUGCCAGAAAUCAAGGGCAGUGCUGAAAUGCCAGGCUUUGAAGGCAAGGUAGACAUGCCAGAAAUCAAGGGCAGUGUUGGAAUGCCAGGCUUUGGAGGCAAGGUAGACAUGCCAGAAAUCAAGGGCAGUGCUGAAAUGCCAGGCUUUGGAGGCAAGGUAGACAUGCCAGAAAUCAAGGGCAGUGCUGAAAUGCCAGGCUUUGGAGGCAAGGUAGACAUGCCAGAAAUCAAGGGCAGUGUUGGAAUGCCAGGCUUUGGAGGCAAGUUUGACAUGCCAGAAAUCAAGGGCAGUGUUGGAAUGCCAGGCUUUGGAGGCAAGGUUGACAUGCCAGAAAUCAAGGGCAAGGUAGACAUGCCAGAAAUCAAGGGCAGUGCUGAAAUGCCAGGCUUUGGAGGCAAGGUAGACAUGCCAGAAAUCAAGGGCAGUGUUGAAAUGCCAGGCUUUGGAGGCAAGGUAGACAUGCCAGAAAUCAAGGGCAGUGUUGGAAUGCCAGGCUUUGGAGGCAAGGUAGACAUGCCAGAAAUCAAGGGCAGUGCUGAAAUGCCAGCCUUUGGAGGCAAGGUAGACAUGCCAGAAAUCAAGGGCAGUGUUGGAAUGCCAGGCUUUGGAGGCAAGGUAGACAUGCCAGAAAUCAAGGGCAGUGUUGGAAUGCCAGGCUUUGGAGGCAAGGUUGACAUGCCAGAAAUCAAGGGCAAGGUUGACAUGCCAGAAAUCAAGGGCAAGUGCUGAAAUGCCAGGCUUUGGAGGCAAGGUAGACAUGCCAGAAAUCAAGGGCAGUGUUGGAAUGCCAGGCUUUGGAGGCAAGGUUGACAUGCCAGAAAUCAAGGGCAGUGUUGGAAUGCCAGGCUUUGGAGGCAAGGUAGACAUGCCAGAAAUCAA